rnacentral:rRNA from 2 species
UAAUACGUAGGGACCAAGCGUUGUUCGGAUUUACUGGGCGUAAAGGGCGCGUAGGCGGUGCGGUAAGUCACUUGUGAAAUCUCUGAGCUUAACUCAGAACGGCCAAGUGAUACUGCAGUACUAGAGUGCAGAAGGGGCAAUCAGAAUUCUUGGUGUAGCGGUGAAAUGCGUAGAUAUCAAGAGGAAUACCUGAGGUGAAGACGGGUUGCUAGGCUGACACUGACGCUGAGGCGCGAAAGCUAGGGGAGCAAACGGG